UUCACACCUGUUUACUACUUUAAGCAACAGGUUUGUCAUUGUGUCACACAGCAGCCUGUACUCAAGGUUCCUGAAAUGGAGCAAUAUCUCCACCUGGUGGACAUUUACCAUUAAUGCA